rnacentral:rRNA from 1 species
GCCUGCUGCUUUACCAAAUUGUGCUGAGAUCUCAUCAGAUCUCACAAGCUAAAAUGGGUUCAUCUGGGCUAGUACUUGGAUGGAUGACAUGUAUGGAAUACAUAGGUAGUAGUGU